rnacentral:rRNA from 1 species
GAUGAACGCUGGCGGCGUGCUUAACACAUGCAAGUCGAACGGAAAGGCCCAAGCUUGCUUGGGUACUCGAGUGGCGAACGGGUGAGUAACACGUGGGUGAUCUGCCCUGCACUUCGGGAUAAGCCUGGGAAACUGGGUCUAAUACCGGAUAGGACGAUGGUUUGGAUGCCAUUGUGGAAAGUUUUUUCGCUGUGGGAUGAGCUCGCGGCCUAUCAGCUUGUUGGUGGGGUAAUGGCCUACCAAGGCGUCGACGGGUAGCCGGCCUGAGAGGGUGUACGGCCACAUUGGGACUGAGAUACGGCCCAGACUGCUACGGGAGGCAGCAGUGGGGAAUAUUGCACAAUGGGCGCAAGCCUGAUGCAGCGACGCCGCGUGGGGGAUGACGGCCUUCGGGUUGUAAACUCCUUUCGCUAGGGACGAAGCGUUUUUGUGACGGUACCUGGAGAAGAAGCACCGGCUAACUACGUG